GGCAGCGAGAGACGCAUGCAACUCGAGGGGAGAGACAGCAACAACGGCACGCACCCCCGAAGGAAGGGAAGAAAAUAAAAAAAAGGGGGGGGGGGGUGUAACUGGAAUGAAAAUAAAGGGGAAAAGGCGGAAAAAGCACAUCAAACAGUUACUUCCAUCCAUCCACAACAGUCUUCUAUGAAGUUUACAAUUCCAUCUUCAUCAACACAUUUUCCAAGGAUGUGCAUUUCAUAUGAGGGUAACCCAAGGAGCUCUGUCACAAAACAACCUGAAGUAGGAGCACUAGGUUCUGCAGCCCACAGCAGGAGAGGAAUCUCAUAUUUAAGCAAUAGAUAAUGCCCUCUGACCUACUUGUGCACUGAAGAAUUAUUUCUUUCUCAGGAUCCUAUAGAUGCUUUCAGAAAACAGCAUUAACUGCAAAUCAGGGCCUAUUGGACAGAAUAUCCACAGGAUAUCCUAUAUCCACAGAAGUGUCACUGCAGUGCACACCAAGACUGUACAACUUGGGGAAAAAGAAUUUUGAAAUAAAAUACAAGACAGAAAGGGAAAUAUUCUACCUGAGAAGCUGAGAACAAUACACACUGUUAGUGCACCUUACAUAAAAUCCUGUAUGCUGUUUGCUCACUGCCCAGAUUCCCAGGCUCUGCUGGGUUGCUUCUGUGUGGAGAAGGCAUCAGUUGCAGCAGCAAAGCUUUUCUUGAUACACAGCCUCUGUCUUCUGUUCCAGUCCCAUUUCCCUACACCCUGUAGAAAUACACAAAGAAUGUGAUUUCCCUGUACAGAAAUUGGAGUCUGCCUCUGGAGCAACCUCUUGUUCCUCACUAGGCAAUGCUCCCAGAUCUUCCCAUGGAUCUUCCAGGUGGCAGCUCCACAGCUCCCUAUCACAUAUUUUUCAAACAGGUCAUUUGAACCUUGUGUCAGGGCUGUGGCUUCAUCAGUGUCCUCUCCCACUAUGGGAAAGAAAAUGAAUUGCUUCUUCAUUAGUUCAGAUGGGGGAUG